GGAAGCUCCUUUCAGAUAGAGACAAGGGAUAUUUGACUUCUUAUCUCUGUUGUCCAGCACAAUGUCCAGAACACAACAGAUAUUCCAUAUGCACAGUCACAUGCUAUGUAUGUGUAUUUUCUUUCCAGAAAGGACUAGAGGUCCUAAGCUUUGUUAAUAUCAUGAGCCAGUGCCCACAUGAGCAGGAGAAUUUUAGCACAGUCACCUACACACUCAUUUCGAUGCUCUGACCCCUUAUCCAAGCCAGUCAAAGUGUGGUCUAUGGUUUUGCAUUUUAAAGAGAUCCCUGGGUGAAUCUUGUGCAUGUUACAGGGAAGCACUGUCCUACAUCCUAUGUGACAGGCUCUCAUAGUCACCAUCAUCAUGGGAAUCUUGCACAUGUUACAGGGAAGCACUGUCCUACAUCAUAUGUGACAGGCUCUCAUAGUCACCAUCAUCACGGGAAUCUUGCACAUGUUACAGGGAAGCACUGUCCUACAUCGUAUCUGACAGGGUCUCAGAGUCACCAUCAUCACGGGAAUCUUGUGCAUGUUACAGGGAAGCACAGUCCUACAUCGUAUCUGACAGGCUCUCAUAGUCACCAUCAUCACGGGAAGCUGCAUUUAGAGCAUUUAACUGUAUGGGCUCUGAAAUCAGAUGACUUAGGUUUGGGCUUGCCUCUACUUCUUACUAAGCAGAGAACUUUGGGGCAUGAUACUUAAUUUUACUAGGCUCAGUUUUAUCAUGUGUAAAUUGGAGGCAAGGGGAAAUUAUAGCAUUUUGCAUAGAAUAUUGUUUUAAGUAUGAA
rnacentral:lncRNA from 1 species